UUUGGGGAAACUUCCAUCCCUUGAAUCACUCUCUCUAAGGAGUAUGGAGAGUGUGAAAAGAGUGGGCAACGAAUUUUUGGGAAUAGGAAGUGACAACGCAUCAUCAUCUUCAUUUAUUCCCUUCCCCAAAUUGAAAUCUCUCGAAUUUGUCAACAUGGAAGAAUUUGAAGUGUGGGAUUGUGGAACAAUCAUGCCGUGCCUUCGUUCCUUAUCCUUUGUCUACUGUCCCAAAUUAAACGCGCUGUCAGAUCAGAUUUUUCGAAUGGUAACACUGGAAGAAUUGAACAUCAAUUGGUGUUCCAUUCUAAAAAAACGCUGCACUCUGGGCACGGGAGUGGACUGGCCCAAGAUCAGUCAUAUCCCUAACAUCAUGAUUAAUUUUGAAAGUGUACAAGGAGAUUUCCAAGGAGAUGUCCGUUAAAGUUUCAGACAGCUACAGUUGUAACUGCACAAGGUUAGAUAUUUGAUUCCAGAGGCGCAUGAAUUGCUUGUUGCAGUGGCUGUAGUGGUUUCUGGCAGUCAAGAGGGACAACUGUUACUAGCUGGAAAAGAGAGGAAGAUUUUACAUUACCAUUUUGCCUUUGGUGAGUUUCUCGGUUUGGUUUUCUUCCUUCAAGCAAUAUGCUGUAUAAAGGGAAUGCAAAUAUCAAGCAAGAUGGUAUCAUUCAGGAUGCAUUUUUUCUUAUGCCCAGGUCCAACAUAAAAGCUGACACAUUAGGGAGCGUGCAGGCAACAAUCAUAUAUUGUGAGUGGUUUUUCAGUUUAUUGGCAAAGAACUCAUCUGCUAACAGGUUUGCAUUUUUCACUUUUUAUUAUGUCUCUGCUUUUCAAGUCAUCCAAGUUUGUUUUCCUGAGCAUGAACUAUAUAUUUGUAAUCUUAGAAACUGAGAAGUGAUUCUCUCUAUUAUAUAUCAUUUUGCUUUAUGGUGACUGUUCAAAUUCACAGUUGAGGAUUGACUUUGUAAGUGGAAAAUGGGGUAGUACCCACAGUAUGAAAUCCCAAGGAGCAAUACUCCCCUUCCUGAAUUUUUUCUCAAGCUAUGCAAUUAUUACUCUGUCAGGGCAUAUAUGGAGGAUGGACUGGUAUGGUAAACGACUUCCUGAUUCUUCAAAUAUCAGAUUAAAUUUGAAGGUAGCCACCAUUGUCAUCAAUACCAAGUAAAUGAUAAGUGUUUCCAAUACAGUCUGUCAGGUUCAGAUUGAAGAAAGCACAGAAGUUUGGGUCCUCAUUUACUGCAAACAUUUAAAUCUGUUACUCACAACGUAAACAUUAUCUGUGACCAGAAUCUGCCCAACAAAGACUUC